rnacentral:rRNA from 1 species
GUCUACGGCCCUACCACCCUGAAUGCACCCGAUCUCAUCUGAUCUCGGAAGCUAAGCAGGGUCGGGCCUGGUUAGUACUUGGAUGGGAGACCUCCUGGGAAUACCGGGUGCUGUAGGCU